GACGAACGCUGGCGGCGUGCUUAACACAUGCAAGUCGAACGGUGAAGCGCCUUCCUUUUUGGUGGGUGUGGAUGAGUGGCGAACGGGUGAGUAACACGUGAGUAACCUGCCCCCUUCUUCUGGAUAACCGCAUGAAAGUGUGGCUAAUACGGGAUAUUCUGGGUCUGUCGCAUGAUGGGUCUGGGAAAGAUGUUGUUUCGGUGGGGGAUGGGCUCGCGGCCUAUCAGCUUGUUGGUGGGGUGAUGGCCUACCAAGGCGGUGACGGGUAGCCGGCCUGAGAGGGUGGACGGUCACACUGGGACUGAGGCACGGCCCAGACUCCGACGGGAGGCAGCAGUGGGGAAUAGUGCACAAUGGGCGCAAGCCUGAUGCAGCGACGCCGCGGGAGGGAUGGAGGCCUGCGGGUUGUGAACCUCUUUCGCCAGUGAAGCAGGCCUGCCUCGUUUGUGGGUGGGUUGACGGUAGCUGGAUAAGAAGCGCCGGCUAACUACGUG
rnacentral:rRNA from 1 species